rfam:Capsicum annuum cultivar Zunla-1 chromosome 10, whole genome shotgun sequence
UUGCUAUGAUGAAAGUUCAGCUUUUGAAAGUCACAAGGCUUGAAGAUGCAUCGACAAGCAUGUUGAUUCUGAGCGGUUACCUGAGCAA